rnacentral:rRNA from 1 species
AGAGUUUGAUCAUGGCUCAAGAACGAACGCUGGCGGCGCGUCUUAAACAUGCAAGUCGAACGAUCUGUAGCAAUACAGGGAGUGGCGGACGGGUGAGGAACACGUAGGAAUCUACCUAGAAGAGCGGGACAACCUUGGGAAACCGGGGCUAAUACCGCAUAGUACAGUGAUGUUAAAGGGCUAGCAAUAGUCGCUUCUAGAUGAGCCUGCGGUCUAUCAGCUUGUUGGCGGGGUAACGGCCCACCAAGGCUACGACGGAUAGCCGGUCUGAGAGGAUGAUCGGCCACACUGGCACUGAGACACGGGCCAGACUCCUACGGGAGGCAGCAGUUAAGAAUCUUGCGCAAUGGACGAAAGUCUGACGCAGCGACGCCGCGUGAAGGAUGAAGGCUUCGGGUUGUAAACUUCGGUAGACUGGGAAGAAAAGUAAGUUCGUUGAGGGCUUACAUUGACGGUACCAGUCUGAAGCCCCGGCUAAUUACGUG